UACGGAGGGUGCAAGCGUUAUCCGGAUUCACUGGGUUUAAAGGGUGCGUAGGCGGGUUAGCAAGUCCGUGGUGAAAUCUCUGAGCUUAACUCAGAAACUGCCGUGGAUACUAUUUGCCUUGAAUAUUGUGGAGGUGAGCGGAAUAUGUCAUGUAGCGGUGAAAUGCUUAGAUAUGACAUAGAACACCAAUUGCGAAGGCAGCUCACUACACAAUCAUUGACGCUGAGGCACGAAAGCGUGGGGAUCAAACAGG
rnacentral:rRNA from 1 species